GGGAGCAAGAUUCAAAGCGUAUAAAAUAGGAACAUAAGAAUGAAAACCGAAUUGUUGGCACAGCUGUUCUUUUAAAUGAUCAAGAUGCCUCAAAGAAUCAUCUUCAUUACAGCAAGAUAUCUGGCAGCAAUAUAUUGAUGCUGAGGAAAUCUAUUCCGAAAUCUCGUUCCAGAGAGAACAAGGAAGCCUGAAAGUGGUUGCAGAUGUUGUCAUCAUCCCUGUUAAUCCAAGAAUUCUGUCUUCUUAAUCCAGUGAACUUUGGGACUACUACAACACUGGGGAAAGAGGGGCAAGCAUGGCUUAAAGCACCUGAACAAUGACUUGGAAAAG